rnacentral:rRNA from 1 species
AACUAGCCUGAAUUAGCGUANGAUUACCUGCCGAA